rnacentral:lncRNA from 1 species
GAAAAAAAUGUGAGCAAUUAUGAUUCCUGAUCUCACUGAGUUCGUGCAAGCUGUACAGAGAAACUCCACAUAAAACUUGUAGUCGAGUAGUUGUAGUGCAACCUUCAUUGUUUGGCCGACGGCUAUAAUAUUAUUAUGAAAGACAAUGAUCACCCUACAAAAUUAUCUUUCCUGAUUAUUUGUCACAGUACUAUAGCUAAUCAUCCUAAAAGUUCUUUUCAAAAUUCAGGUUGACUCUCAAACAUCCACAAUGAAAACUCAGGUUGACAUUGAAACUUGUACUCAAUUUUCUUGCUUACAGCAGCAAGCAUCAGGGGCAUCAUGAGAUUCAAUAAGAACAGCUUUGGCUUCGACCUAUUUGAUCAAACAGAGUAAAUCAUGUCACUACCAGGAUCAGACUUCAUGAGUUUAUAAUGGCAUCCCACACUGUACUUUUCUGAAUCAUGUGUAUGCAAGGAAUCUCUUAAAUGCUCUCCCUCCGAUCCAAAAUAAGUGUCGUGGUUUUUGAACUAAAACAACGACACUUAAUUUUGAUCGGAAGGAGUAUAAUACACAGGUCCAGAAUAGGCUGAUGCCACAUUACUCACCCUCACUGCACACUGGACACCGGCUCAUGUCUGAGUUAUCCCAUGAUCUCAUAGGUAUGCAACAGUCUAGGCAGAAAAUAUAGUUUGAAUUGGAUGUCAGGGUGAUGUAAAAAAUGCAGACCGUUUUUGUAUGUCUACAAAAAUAUGUUCAAUUCAUUUUUUUACUGAAACCUUGACUGAGCAAAGUGAAACAACAUCAUAUAAUGUGGUAGCCAAAUCUACACAAGAUGUAGCCUGCAGAUAUGGUACCAUGAACUGCACAAACAAAACAGACUGAACGGUUCAAAAAUUGCAUCAAAACUGUUUCACAAUUAACAUAUUCAGCAAAGGCUAAACAUCCUUGACUUACAAACCAAAAAAUGGAACAAAAAUGCUGUGUUGCCUACACCUUUAUCAACUAAACUGCUUACUCAUUUGUUCACCACAUAGAAGCAGGUAAUAAUCUCCUACAAGAGUACACCUUUAUCAACUAUCUCCUACUCAUACAUCAAGCUUUCAAAGUAUAUCUAAUUUUCAGGUCUGGACAGAUUCAACCAACUGAGAGCAUAUCACCCUUUUUGGUUCAAAUUAAAUGGCCCAAUCUUCCAUCACAUUUACAUCGGGCUUAGAGUUUAGAACAGACUUACAGUUGGAUAAUGCAAUACAACGAUACCUGUAGAAUAAUAGUGCAAUACCUGUAGUUAAAUCCAUCAGUUUUGGCACAUUCGUAGAAACACGUUUCUCUGCUGCUCUGCAAUCAUUUGUUAACACACAUUUUGUCAGUAUGAGCAACCAACAUCAGCUAAAAGGAACCAUACAAAUGAAGGUACCACAACUCUCUAAUGUAAACAGUUCAUAGCAGAAUACGCACAGCGCCAUGAGCAGAUGUUGAAAGCGCAAGAUCUUAUACAGAAGGUUUUAACCGUGUAAUGUUGAAAAGAAUAAGAUAUUAACAGUAUGUUGUAGAAAGAACAAUAUGCCGCAGAAUAAUGCCGUAAACUUAAAUACUAAACUUUUAAAAAAAUCAUUAGAAAGAACAGCACGCCGUAGAAAAAUAAUGCAAUACAUAUAAACAACCUAGCCACUCCAACUUAAAAAGAAUCAAGUUCCAACUGCACAACUCAUAUGACCAUUACAGAACCACUUUUCAGUACCACCAUUCUGGCCUUACCGUUACAUGGCAACCAAACUAAUCCUCAUUUAUUUUAGAAGAAACCAACUAUUCUACUGAUCCUUCGUAGGCACAACUCAAUUAACCGGUUGAUUAGCCAAGCAUUUUGUGCCUGAUGCAAUCUUCAAGUAUAUACUGUAACCAACUUAUUUGUUGAUACUAAGAGAUGUAAAAAGAAGCUAGAGUAGCCAAGGUUUAGAUGUUGUACUAGUCAGCAAAUCUGCACUGCUCUGCUUGGAAGAGCGUCAGAUGGAUCCAGCCAUCAUUGGCCAGAGACGCGCCAAAGUAGAACCUUACACAUUACAACCCUUUUUCAUCUCCUCUCACCUCCUCGGAUAUCAAAAAUAUUGCGUAUUUAAAUUUCUUCUUUAGCAAUGUAAAGCAUAAGGAAAGCUCGAUGAGAAUUUAAUAACUUCCCAGAAAUAAAUAAGUGACAACUAAACGAGGCACAUAGCCAAGGCAAAGACUUCAUGAUUUGUAUGCCUUCUUUUCACUAACGGUGAUGCUUACUUUAGUGUAGCCCGAGUGAAAAAGAAAAUAAACUUGUGCCUUAUCGAUCAAAAUGUCACUACCUAGACUAAUGGUCCAAACAAAAUCACCUCUAUGGACAAAAGAACCAAUGGAUAAUUGGCUGUAAUGUGUAUGAUGAAUCAUGCAUAUCUGGCUCUAUAUUAGCAUGUCAGGGAAAAAAUCAAGAGAUUAAGCCAAUAUAUCAGGGGACAAGAUGCAUCUUUCACAUCUCAGAUAAAAAACAUCACCAGUAAAAUGUUUGUCGUUGGUUCAGUUUUCCUGACUUACCCAAGUGCUUGUAUAGUUGAAAAAUAUAUCAUACCUGAAUACAAUGAAACAGCAAGAAGCAAACAGUAAGAAACUUGAAAUGGUGUAGCAAGUACUACAGCAAACCGAAUAGGAACAGACCAAAUAUAAACAAAGUGCCAUGCCCUUUUCCUUAUGGUGGUGUUCCUUAGUGUAACAUACAAACCAACCACGUCACCUAUUUUUGUGCUACAUAUAGACUGAAACCAAGCAAGAUAAUGUAACCUGACAAGAAGUAUAGUAUAGCCGAUUUAGAAAUUGAGAACUGGCCAUUCCAAACAAAAACAACAUUGCUGAUGCUGCAAAAAUGGAUAAUCCAGCUCCAAAUAGUGAUGCCUCCAUCAAUCAAAUCCCUAGGAACUUUC